rnacentral:rRNA from 1 species
CCUAAGGUAGCGAAAUUCCUUGUCGGGUAAGUUCCGACCUGCACGAAUGGCGUAAUGAUGGCCAGGCUGUCUCCACCCGAGACUCAGUGAAAUUGAACUCGCUGUGAAGAUGCAGUGUACCCGCGGCAAGACGGAAAGACCCCGUGAACCUUUACUAUAGCUUGACACUGAACAUUGAGCCUUGAUGUGUAGGAUAGGUGGGAGGCUUAGAAGUGUGGACGCCAGUCUGCAUGGAGCCGACCUUGAAAUACCACCCUUUAAUGUUUGAUGUUCUAACGUUGACCCGUAAUCCGGGUUGCGGACAGUGUCUGGUGGGUAGUUUGACUGGGGCGGUCUCCUCCUAAAGAGUAACGGAGGAGCACGAAGGUUGGCUAAUCCUGGUCGGACAUCAGGAGGUUAGUGCAAUGGCAUAAGCCAGCUUGACUGCGAGCGUGACGGCGCGAGCAGGUGCGAAAGCAGGUCAUAGUGAUCCGGUGGUUCUGAAUGGAAGGGCCAUCGCUCAACGGAUAAAAGGUACUCCGGGGAUAACAGGCUGAUACCGCCCAAGAGUUCAUAUCGACGGCGGUGUUUGGCACCUCGAUGUCGGCUCAUCACAUCCUGGGGCUGAAGUAGGUCCCAAGGGUAUGGCUGUUCGCCAUUUAAAGUGGUACGCGAGCUGGGUUUAGAACGUCGUGAGACAGUUCGGUCCCUAUCUGCCGUGGGCGCUGGAGAACUGAGGGGGGCUGCUCCUAGUACGAGAGGACCGGAGUGGACGCAUCACUGGUGUUCGGGUUGUCAUGCCAAUGGCACUGCCCGGUAGCUAAAUGCGGAAGAGAUAAGUGCUGAAAGCAUCUAAGCACGAAACUUGCCCCGAGAUGAGUUCUCCCUGACCCUUUAAGGGUCCUGAAGGAACGUUGAAGACGACGACGUUGAUAGGCCGGGUGUGUAAGCGCAGCGAUGCGUUGAGCUAACCGGUACUAAUGAACCGUGAGGCUUAACCUU